rnacentral:lncRNA from 1 species
GCACUUAGCAAAGAAAUCCUGUGGAAAAUCACAAGGAUGGAAUGCUCGGAGUUCUUGAAGGAUUUUUCUGGCCUAUGUGGGGAACCACGUGGAGCCGUGAUCGAUGCAAAAAGCAAGAGGAAGUAUUUUAGGGAAUGAGGUGACAAGGAGUUCCCUCUUCUGAAGGUACUUUUAUAUUGGCUGUAAUACAGAAUGAAAGGAAGACAUUUGAAAAUGAAUGGUUUCAAGUAGGCUUUCUUGACAGUAAGUGAUGAACAGAAGAAAUGCGAAGCAUAAUAAUCUUACUAUAAAGUUGGCCUGUUAUACUUUCAGAAAAUGUCUGUAUAAUCUCAAUAUCUCAGAUCUACCAACACAAAGAAGAGGAAGAGGAAGAGGAAGAAGAGGAGAGGAGGAGG